GCGACUUGUAGUUAAUUUGCAAGUAGGUCGAGAGAGCUAGUUCCGUGCGGUCAGGACCACAGAUGUGACUAAACUGCCCAAGGCCACCACCAGAGCUCCGAGCAGAAACUUCCAAGAAAUUCCCUGAAAGACUCUGUGAAAAAUAAGGUGGUCCUGCACUUUCUAACACUGACCAACAGAUGGUGCCAUUUCACCGUCUGCAAGCUGCAUUUCAGGCCCGUCAUGAUUGACUGGCUGGCGAUCAUGUUUAUAAGGCAUUUGCUGCAAAAGGCUGUCUAAGAUCGUGAACUUGUUCGGGCCGACAGAGACAUUUCAGGAGCUGAACAGAAGAGAUCCCUGGGGUCCACGGGAUAUACCACCUUUCCCACGCAACCUUAUCUAGCCUUAUUACUUUCAGAAGUUGGUCACAUGACCACACAUAAAUCAAUAGACUGACAAAUAAAAGGCCUGAAACUGAGUCGAUUUCACUGUGCACAUUUAUUAAGUAUGUUCCCAUGAGAUUAAACAAGAUCAAGCCUGGUGUGAAAGUUUCUAACCUGCAAGAUUGACACAGUUUGACGUUUUUCAGUUCAAACAUGCAUGUUUGUACAGCUGGAGGUUUCCAGUAAAGUUCAUGGUAUUCCAGUAAAUAUGAGUGUUAAUAUCAGAGUCAGCUGGUGAGCUGAAGUAAAUCCAAGGCCUCUUCAACAUAACUAGAUAACAUGUAACUGUUAGUUUGUGCAACUUAAUGAGAUGCACAAAACACACACACAAUUGGACUAUUAUCAGAAGCAAUGUGAACGGUAACUUUGUAAUCUCUUAGUAAUCUAAACAGGACAAAAAUAAUGUUAAAAUGCUGUAAAGCAUGUUAGUAAUUUAACAUGACAGACAUGCAUAACUACUGUUU